UACGGAGGGAGCUAGCGUUGUUCGGAAUUACUGGGCGUAAAGAGUACGUAGGCGGUUAUUCAAGUCAGAGGUGAAAGCCCGGGGCUCAACCCCGGAACUGCCUUUGAAACUAGAUAACUAGAGUCUUGGAGAGGUUAGUGGAAUUCCGAGUGUAGAGGUGAAAUUCGUAGAUAUUCGGAAGAACACCAGUGGCGAAGGCGACUAACUGGACAAGUACUGACGCUGAGGUACGAAAGCGUGGGGAGCAAACAGGAUUAGAUACCCUGGUAGUCCACGCCGUAAACGAUGAUAACUAGUUGUUCGGUCACUUGGUGACUGAGUGACGCAGCUAACGCAUUAAGUUAUCCGCCUGGGGAGUACGGUCGCAAGAUUA
rnacentral:rRNA from 1 species